rnacentral:rRNA from 1 species
ACUCAGGUGUUGUUGGGUAGGGGAGCGUUCUGUAAGCCUGUGAAGGUGGCCUGUGAGGGUUGCUGGAGGUAUCAGAAGUGCGAAUGCUGACAUAAGUAACGAUAAAGCGGGUGAAAAGCCCGCUCGCCGGAAGACCAAGGGUUCCUGUCCAACGUUAAUCGGGGCAGGGUGAGUCGACCCCUAAGGCGAGGCCGAAAGGCGUAGUCGAUGGGAAACGGGUUAAUAUUCCCGUACUUGGUGUUACUGCGAAGGGGGGACGGAGAAGGCUAUGUUGGCCGGGCGACGGUUGUCCCGGUUUAAGCGUGUAGGUGUGUGUUCCAGGUAAAUCCGGUUCACUUUAACACUGAGGCGUGACGACGA